AGGGCUUCCCCGGCUCCCGAGCUCCGAGCUUCCACCACAUCGGCCGGCUCAGGACAGGGCUUCCACUGUAAAGUCGGCUGCCAGACGUGUUGGAGCUCACCGACUAUGGAGGAUUCAUCAACAGACCAGGAAGCAACAGCCUGGGCUCCAGAAUUGACCAGUAGUCCGUGCACAGACGAGGAGAGGUCCCAUGAAACUUCGGCGCAGUCUGGGAACCGAGCUCUUUUUGUAACAAGUUGUUUGUCAGGAGGCCCGGUCAUGAAAGCCCUUCCUGACUGGGCUCAAGGAAUACAAAAAGGACAACUUGUUUUUGCCAUUGUCUGUUGUUUUUCAAUAACUAGUUCUCCGAAACAGCACUGGAUGAAUGCCUCAAGGGGCUCACACAACUCGUUCCAGGACUUAGUGACCAUUGUUUCUGUCCCUGUUCAAUAGAGUUCAAAUUUAAUAUUUAAAUUUUGCUCCACAAUGUGCCAUAUUAUCUGUAUCCAACCUGUCAUUGGGCAUUUAGGUUGAUUCCAUGUCUUUACUAUUGUGAAUAAUGCUGCAAUAAACAUUUACGUGCUUGUGUCUUUAUGAUAGAACAAUUUAUAUACCUCUGGGUAUAUACCCAGUAAUGAGAUUGCUGGGUCAAGUGAUAGUUCUGCUUUUAUCUCUUUCGAGGAGAGCACUGUUGUGCUUUCCACAAUGGUGGGACCAAUGUACACUCCCAAGCAUCUGUCAUUUUUUGACUUUUUCAUAAUAGCCAUUCUGACUGGUGUGAGAUGGUGUCUCACUGUGCCUUGGAUUUGCAUUUCUCUAAUGAUCAGUGAUACUGAGCUUUGUAUUCUAUGGUUGUUGGUCACAUGUAUGUAUUCUUUUGAAAAGCAUUCAUGUCCUUUGCCCACUUUUUAAACAUUUUUUUAUUUCCAUAGGUUUUAGGACAACAGGUGGCAUUUGGUUACAUUAGUAAGUUCUUUAUUGAUUUGUAAGAUUUUGGUGCAUCCAUCAACUCAUCUGUAUA
rnacentral:lncRNA from 10 species